AGAGAGGUGGCCGAGUGGCUUAAGGCGCACGCUUGGAAAGCGUGUAUACGUUGAUAGCGUAUCGAGGGUUCGAAUCCCUUCCUCUCUGCGA
rnacentral:tRNA from 1 species